GCCACGCACAGCACGUGAAGAAGAAAAAUAAACUGCUGUGUUAAAAAGACGACAAACUACUUCCGUUAUUUCCUGUUUUUCAGUUUAGGGGAAAAAAGGACAACGGAACACAUAAUGAAGGACAUACUUCGUUGAAGUGAACAUCCUGCAUCCCGACGUCCUCCAUCAUGGCUGCCUCUUCGUCAAUGUUUGGAGUGAUGACACGGAAUGCCGAGCAGCCAUGCCUGAACAUUCCUUCCACACAAAGAGAACGUGGGAAUCCCUGAAGGAGUACUCUCCAGGACUUCCUCUAAGGACUCCAAAAAAGUGUUCAACUUCGAUGUUCAGGCCCUGAAUAAAUUCCAGACCAUCUCAAGUGGACUGGUACUUGGACUUCUGUACAUCUAGAGGUGAAAUUCCACAUGCCAAGAUGUAGCUUCUGCAGCUGAGGUUCCCACCUUUGGACACCACGCAACCUUUUUGGCCCUUCCCAUGAUAUCAAUGGAGGAGAAUGUGCCAAGGGCUGUUAAACCACAAGUGAGAGGCCGCGAAUGGACCCCGGCCCACACUUUGGACACCCCUGCGCUAGGCUAUACAGAAUGUGCCAUUGGCUGUUAAACCACAAGCGACAGGCCGCGAAUGGACCCCGGCCCGCACUUUGGACACCCCUGUGCUAGGCUAUACAG